CCUACGGGAGGCAGCAGUGGGGAAUAUUGGGCAAUGGGCGCAAGCCUGACCCAGCAACGCCGCGUGAAGGAAGAAGGCUUUCGGGUUGUAAACUUCUUUUCGCAGGGACGAAGAAAGGGACGGUACCGGAGGAAGAAGCCACGGCGAACUCCGGGCCAGCAGCCGCGGGAAGACGUAGGUGGCAAGCGUUAUCCGGAUUUACUGGGUGUAAAGGGCGUGUAGGCGGGACUGCAAGGCAGAUGUGAAAACCACGGGCUCAACCGGUGGCCUGCAUUUGAAACUGUAGUUCUUGAGUACUGGAGAGGCAGACGGAAUUCCUAGUGUAGCGGUGAAAUGCGUAGAUAUUAGGAGGAACACCAGUGGCGAAGGCGGUCUGCUGGACAGCACCUGACGCUGAGGCGCGACAGCGUGGGGAGCAAACAGGAUUAGAUACCCCGGUAGUC
rnacentral:rRNA from 1 species